GUGGAAGUGGAGACGUGGCAGGGUGGGGGCGGCCACAUCUGCCGGCCUGGCGGGGGAGCAGCCACGUCCACAGACCCAGGCGCAUCACAUUCCCUUUAAAGUCCUUACCUUCUCCUCACCCCAUACCCUGGAUCCAGACAUCAAGGCGAUGUGGCCGAGGGGACCCAGGCCUCACAGGCAGCCCCUGGCCCAGAUGGGGAGGCCUUGGCCAAGCUGAGACCAGAACAUGUGGUCAAGAUCGGGCUCAGACUGACCUGGGCACCGUGCCAGUCACAUAUGUAGAUGGGGUCUUCAUGCUAUGGAGAUGGUGGGUGGAGCUUUAACUAGGAUCAGUCUCCAUCCUGAGCUGGCAUCUGGGAUCACCUCACCUGGACUACAGCACCUGGAGGCAGGUUUCCUCUUUUUGAUAACCUUCAGAAGAGCCACGUCUAAGGACCUUGAUGAAACACUGGUUCCCCAGAUGGUCUCAGGAGAACAAUCCACUGAGGUGAAAAGCCCUUCAAGGCAGCCCUGCGCCACGCCACAGGAAGGGUAUGUUGAGUCAGCAGCAAAAGGGAUUCCAGUUAGACUCGAAGAAGACUGGCUGAGCAAAAGCGGGUGGUCAUGCCUAUUUAUAGACAAGUUCCAGGAAUUCCUACCGUGCCUGAAGCAAUGGGUGAAGGAUCUGGAAGCUUCCCAAGCACAACACAGUGGUCAGGAACAGCCCUGGCAGCCUCAGAAAGUGCUUAGGAAACAGAGCUUGGACCAGGUGACACAGUCUGGUGACCCAGCCAGGAAAAAAAGGGUUGAAUCCACCUCAUCAGCCCCACCCACAAACUGGCUCCAUGUGGCCUCCAGGGCACUACCUGCAGAAGGAAGGCUGGUUUCAGGGCAUCCGAUUUCCUCUUCUGACUUCCACGGGCAUUGCAUGACAGGGAAGGCAAUUAAAAUAUUCAAAAAAAUAUUGGCCAGGGGGCAGAAGAUGACUUCACCUGCUGGAUCCUUCAGAGCACUUGGUGGGACGGUGAUUGAACAACCCCAAUUCCCUCAGGCUGAUUGAUGGCGAUCUUCCUGAGGCCUACCCAGAAAUGACAUCGGAAGUUGGUCUUUUUCCUAUCCAUCCUUCCAUGCCUAGCUCAAAUGCCAUCUCUGGUGGGAAGCCUUCCAGCCUCCUCACCCACUGGCUGCUCCCUUCCCGACGAUCCCACAGGAACUUGAAUGUGAUUUUCUCCUGCCUGCUCAGUCUGCACCUGCUGUGGCAUGCAGCCUGUGAAAAUUCUCCAAACCCUCAUUAGCGAUAGAGUGUGUUUUGAUUCCUAGAACUGAGGUCAGACCAAAUGACAAUGUGCUGGCAAGGUAAAGUAUUGCCAGGUUUCAAAGCCUCGGUACCAAAACGUGAACAAAAAUGCCUUAUUUAUAACUCAUAUUGAUUGCAUGUGGGGAUGAAAAAUGAUUUGUAUAUU